UCGUCGACUGAUCGAUCGAUUGAUCGCCGAUGGAAUUCCUUCUCCGGUCUUCGUUUUCCGUCGUUUCUUCUCUCGGUUCGCGUGCUCUUCUCCAUUUUUUUGAGUUUCUCCAUGCAUGUUCGUUCAGCGAUGCUUCUGGCAGGAGAUUCGGUUCUGUCAAAGAUGAACUAUUUACGGUUUCUGCCACGGCCUGAAUUAUCGAUAAACUUAGAUACUGCCUAAGAGCCAGAGGCACUAGCCAACAAAGAUCCCAUUCACAAUCAGCUCGCGACAUUCGCGGCUCCGCACCGAGCGUUCCGACAUGACUCACUCCCUGAAUAGAGAGAGCUGGAGAGAAGUUGACUAAGCCCUCUUCCAUCACAUACAGUGAAAGUGAGAUAGACGUUGAUGGAUGAAAACCAGUGCCGGAACUUUGCUAGAACCAGAUUACCUUAGUCGUAUUGCUAUCUUGGACUCACCCCACCCUUCACCUUUGUCGGUCAUCAGAUGAUGUAGUAGCAAAAGAAGCUUCCUGUGAAAGGAAUUUCUGUUGAACGAUAAUGUACGCGUGUGCAGUUGUCAUUCAGAUUGAACUGGAGAUAUUCUUUGUUUAUUC